rnacentral:lncRNA from 1 species
UUCUUACAUUGACUUGUUGGUGCUUUUUAUUCUUAUAAUUGUUAUUUGGAUUGAUUAUAAGUAUUGAGUGAUGUGAUAUGUGUAAAUGAAAUUAAAAAAAAGGAAAAAUAAAAGAUGUAAAUCCAAUUUGGAGAGCUGACGAUGAUGGGGGGGUCAUGGAAGAAGGAGAAAUCCAAGUUGUGAAAGAUUAUGGACGAGGGGUGGGAGAACCUCGUUGGAAAGUGUGGCUUGAAGGCUCCUCAUCAAUUUGGAAGACCAUGCUCUGCAAAGGAGGCCGAAGAAAAAAAUGACAUUAUGGAAGAGUAUGUAUAGCUAAAAAUGUAAGUUCAGUCUUAAUAGUAAAUUCUGUUUGUGAAUGUGAGCUGAACAAACUCCCAAUUGGCCUGUUGGACGGCAGUGGGGAGUUCUUUGGAAACAAAAAUGCAGUAUGGGAUAGUGGUACAAUGGCUUCUAUAUAUAGGAGUGGAUAAAGACUUCGACUUACCAUACAGCAAACCAGGGAACUCGGCAGCCACCCCCCAAAAUUGUCGGUGUGAACAGCUCGAGAUUGGAAGUCGUAAAGGGUGUUGAGUUGAUAUUUAGACUUGGAAAUCGUCAGCUCAAGGAGAUUGUGUAUUUCCUCAAAAAUUUGGCCAAUAUUAUAUGUUUAUCUCUCAUAAUGCAUACAUGAGAUUGGGAAUUUUGCAUCCAGAUUUCCCUCGCCUCUGAAACAAGAAUGGAUAAAUCAGUCGUUAGUGAAUGCCAAUGUUAAAUGUACCCUAGAUUCCAACAUAUUCGAAGAAGUCAAAAGAAAUUACCUCAAGGACUUGAUAGAUGAGUUUUGAGAUGUAUUUACCUGUGAGGAAGAGUUUAGGGGAAUGAAGUUUUCCCCCAUGAGAAUAGAACUGUUGGAAGGAGAAAAACCAUGGAUCGAGGCAAAUCCCUUUUUGCUACAGGGAACAAAUCAAGAGGACGUUGGAAGAUGUAGUGAAGAAGGACGUCAUGUAGAAGAUUGAGGAUGAGGUGACAGAAUGGUGUCAUCUGAUCGUCGUUGCCUAAUGGGAAGAUACUUUUAACCAAUUGAACUCUCAAGUAAGAAGAUUAGUUCACCCCAUGAAAACGCCAAAAGAGGCAUUCUCUGAAAUAAACCCAAGACGCAAAUAUUUUUACAAAUUUGAUGGAGUGAACGGAUACUGGCAGAUGCAUGUGAAGAUAUCAAUUUCGUCGGUUACAAGAUUUGUAAGGAUGGUAUCGUGUGUGAUGGAAAGAAGUUAAAAGGGAUCCGUGAAUUCCCUACACCUCCUAAUAAAACAGAAUUGAGAUUAUAUAUUGGCUUAGCCAAUCAGUUUGAAGUUUCUUAUCGAAAUUUGGUAAAAUAGCAGAGCCUUUAAGGCAUCAGAUGAUGUCAAAAAAUGAUUUUUUUUUUGGAAAAUGUACAUACCCAAGCCAUGAAUGAAGUGAAGGACGUGUUGAUGGCUAACCCUGUUCUUGCAAUUUCUGAUCCAAAGAAGGAGACGCAUCAUAAAAUGGAUGCCUCAAGGACUAAAGGACUACAAAAACACAGAGAGAUAUGCUAAUUAUUUGAAUACGGUUGGGGAUUUGUGAACUACACAGAGUCAAGAUUGAAAAUCCGAAGGUCCAAAAGAUAAGGAUGGAUAUCCAACAUUAUUAAUUCUAUAUUACCUAGAAGAAAGGUAAGGAUAGUUUGGUUACUAAUACUCUCUCUAGAGCAUUUGUUGAGGAUCCGGAGGAAGAAGAGGAGACUGAACACGGAACGAAGGAUUUAAUUCGUUUAGCUAUUGCCAGAGUCGUUGUGAGGAAGGAAACUAUUAGAAAUAUUGGGUUCAUGGACCUUAUUAUUGAAGAGAUAAGGAAAAUAGCCCUCCUCGAUGAAAAUUAUCAAAGUCUAGUAAAAUAUAUAGAGUGGAUUUUCAAAUCCUUUUGUAAAAUUGUUCAAGGCCUUUUGAAAUGAGUUGACUGUUGAUGAUGGACUAGUCUUGAAGGGAACGAGAAUCAUUGUUCCAAAGGCAUGUUAAAGGUUUGUUUUGACAAAACUUCACUCUUCUCAUCAAGAAAUUAUGAGGACAAAGAGACUAGCAAGCGAAUCCUUCUACGAAUUUUGAGUCGAGUUUGAGAGACUUAUUUACGUUGAAUGGCAAAACCUUUCUUGUAUGUGUGGACGCUCUAUCAGGAUACACUAUUGUGGAGUAGUAUAACAAGGAUCCCAAUGCUGGCCAAAUCAUUGAAAUAUUCUCAAGAUGGUUCCAAAAUUUUGGAUAUCCAAGGAACUUAAGAUCUGAUCAUAGGCGGGGGGGUGUUAAUUCAUGAAAUGAGCAAAUUAAAUUUUAGCACAUUUUUUCGGAUACAAAAUGAUUUUGUAAGCACUAUGGAGGAAAAAAAUUAAUUUCCACCCAAAUUUCGCCCCUCCCCCCUCCAAUCCAAAAUUACUUUUUCACCCAUGAAUACGUAUUUUUUUUAAUUAUCAAAUAUGACCUUAAAAUGUACUUUAUAAACUUAAAAUGCUAUAUGUCUAAUGUUUAAAGCUUAAAAAGGUUUUAAUGAUCACGACAUUGGCCAAUUUCUUCUUAUUACUUUAACAAUAAUUUUGGGGGUACGGGGUAGCUGGAAUAUUAUUUUUUUUUUUUUCAGAGUGCUUAAAAAAAUCAUUUUGUAUUCGAAAAAUUUGGUUAAAAUUGAAUUUGAUUUUAACAGCUCUCCUCCCCUUACUGAUUAGGCACUGUGUAUUCUUGUAAUAGAAAUAAGUAGUUUUGAAUAAAAAUGGAUUUGUUUGGUCACCUUCAAGCCCAUCAUACCCCCAAAGUAAUUGUAUGGCUAAGUCCGCCGUGAAGAGACUUAUUAAUAAAUGUGGCUCCCGAUCGGUCCACUUCGAAGAAUUUCAUGAUAGUUUAUUAGAUUGUUAUAUUUUGACAUAUGUAAUAUUUGUAAAUAAACAUGUUGAAUGUACCCACAUUGAAAUCCCAUUCAAA